UACGUAGGGGGCAAGCGUUAUCCGGAUUUACUGGGUGCAAAGGGAGCGCAGACGGCAGUGCAAGUCUGGAGUGAAAGCCCGGGGCCCAACCCCGGAACUGCUCUGGAAACUGUGCGGCUAGAGUACUGGAGGGGCAGGCGGAAUUCCUAGUGUAGCGGUGAAAUGCGUAGAUAUUAGGAGGAACACCAGUGGCGAAGGCGGCCUGCUGGACAGUAACUGACGUUGAGGCUCGAAAGCGUGGGGAGCAAACAGG
rnacentral:rRNA from 1 species